rnacentral:rRNA from 1 species
GACGAACGCUGGCGGCGUGCUGAACACAUGCAAGUCGAACGGAAAGGCCCUGCUUUUGUGGGGUGCUCGAGUGGCGAACGGGUGGGUAACAGGUUGGUAACCUUCCGUUGACUUUGGGAUAAAUUCAGGGAACUGGGGCUAAUACCGGAUAGGAGGUCCGGCUGCAUGUUGGGGGUUGGAAAGUUUCGGCGGUUGGGGAUGGACUCGCGGCUUAUCAGCUUGUGGGUGGGGUAGUGGCUUACCAAGGCUUUGACGGGUAGCCGGCCUGCGACGGUGACCGGCCACAUUGGGACUGACAUACGGCCCAGACUCCUCCGGGAGCCAGAAGUGGCGCAUAUUGCACCAUGGGAGGAAGCCUGAUGCCGCAACUCCGCGUGCGUGCUGACGGCCUUCGCGUUGUAAACCGCUCUCGCCCGUGACCCACCGUGAGUGACGGUACUGGGUAAAGAAGCACCGGCUCACUAAGUG